rnacentral:rRNA from 1 species
GUUGAACGCUGGCGGCAGGCUUAACACAUGCAAGUCGAGCGGGGGAAGGUAGCUUGCUACCGGACCUAGCGGCGGACGGGUGAGUAAUGCUUAGGAAUCUGCCUAUUAGUGGGGGACAACAUCUCGAAAGGGAUGCUAAUACCGCAUACGUCCUACGGGAGAAAGCAGGGGAUCUUCGGACCUUGCGCUAAUAGAUGAGCCUAAGUCGGAUUAGCUAGUUGGUGGGGUAAAGGCCUACCAAGGCGACGAUCUGUAGCGGGUCUGAGAGGAUGAUCCGCCACACUGGGACUGGGACACGGCCCAGACUCCCACGGGAGGCAGCAGUGGGGAAUAUUGGACAAUGGGGGGAACCCUGAUCCAGCCAUGCCGCGUGUGUGAAGAAGGCCUUAUGGUUGUAAAGCACUUUAAGCGAGGAGGAGGCUACUCUAGUUAAUACCUAGGGAUAGUGGACGUUACUCGCAGAAUAAGCACCGGCUAACUCUGUGCCAGCCGCCGCGGUAA